rnacentral:rRNA from 1 species
CACGCAGGCGGUUUGUUAAGUCAGAUGUGAAAUCCCCGGGCUCAACCUGGGAACUGCAUCUGAUACUGGCAAGCUUGAGUCUCGUAGAGGGGGUAGGAAUUCCAGGUGUAGCGGUGAAAUGCGUAGAGAUCUGGAGGAAUACCGGUGGCGAAGGCGGCCCCCUCGGACGAAGACUGACGCUCAGGUGCGAAAGCGUGGGAGCAAACA